rnacentral:rRNA from 1 species
GUGAGGAAUUUUCCGCAAUGGGCGAAAGCCUGAUCCAGCAAUGCCGCGUGGGUGAAGAAGGCCUUCGGGUUGUAAAGCCCUUUUGUACGGAAAGAAAUCCUGGUGGUUAAUACCCGCCGGGGAUGACGGUACCGUAAGAAUAAGCACCGGCUAACUUCGUGCCAGCAGCCGCGGUAAUACGAAGGGUGCAAGCGUUAAUCGGAAUUACUGGGCGUAAAGCGUGCGUAGGUGGUUUCUUAAGUCUGUCGUGAAAGCCCUGGGCUCAACCUGGGAAUGGCGAUGGAUACUGGGAGGCUAGAGUGCGGUAGAGGAUGGCGGAAUUCCCGGUGUAGCGGUGAAAUGCGUAGAGAUCGGGAGGAACAUCUGUGGCGAAGGCGGCCAUCUGGACCAGCACUGACACUGAGGCACGAAAGCGUGGGGAGCAAACAGGAUUAGAUACCCGGGUAGUCC